rnacentral:rRNA from 1 species
CGGGUAGAGUAAUGCGUGACCAACCUGCCCCAUGCUCCAGAAUAGCUCUUGGAAACGGGUGGUAAUGCUGGAUGCUCCAACUUGACGCAUGUCUUGUUGGGAAAGUGUUUAGUGGCAUGGGAUGGGGUCGCGUCCUAUCAGCUUGUAGGCGGGGUAAUGGCCCACCUAGGCUUCGACGGGUAGCCGGCCUGAGAGGGCGGACGGCCACAUUGGGACUGAGAUACGGCCCAGACUCCUACGGGAGGCAGCAGCG